AUAAAAAGAAAUGUACAAAAAGGUUUACAAGUUUAUAAAUUAGAUAGCAGGAAAUCAAAUCCACAAACAUCGAUACCAUCAAGUGCUGCAGUUAAAUAACAAACAAAGACCUAUUACUCCAAAUAAAAUCUCUACAUCAAAUCAAAGAUGACCGUAAGUGACUUUUAAAUAUGCCUGUAAAGAGUAAAAUAUGCACAAGUAAAAAUGCAAAAGCAAACGUUACAUGUGUUUUCUUGCAUGCAUGGGAGCUGUAUUUACAGUAUGUCUGUAAGCUGGAGCAGAGCUGCAGGUGGAGUGAAGUGGUUCUGUUAUCACAGGAUGUGCGAUGGAUCGUUAAAGAUUAUUCUCAGAGUUUGUUAGUACAUAUGUAUGAGGCGCGAGGCAGCAGGGUUUCUGCAAGUAUCAGUGAGGUUAUGCCAACACAUUUCUGUAGUCUUUUCAAGUCCACUAUGAUUUAAAAUUAAGAUGUAUAUAUAUGAAAAACAACCAACAACAAACAAGUUAAAUCUAACCUUGUCAACAUAAAUUGGUAUUUUACUUUGGUGCCUUUGCACUUGCUAAUAAACCUCAAAUACCUUCCUACAGUGCAUCGUAACCUUCAUAAAAAUGAUUUCAAAGCUUCAGAUAUCAAACCAAUUUUUAUACAGCCGAGUGUGGACGCUUCAAUAAAAAAGUAACUACGGUUCUGUUUCUGGCCUAACGACUUUUUGGCAAACGGCAACAAAUUAGUUCACUGUUGAUAAAACAAAAACAAAACAAAACAAUCUCUUUAAUUCAUCCCAGUCCAGUUUUUGAUCACACCUCAGCACUGAGAGAACAUUAGUAAAGCUUUUAAAUGUCGAUGUGCCUGAAGCUUGUUUGUCGUUUCACUGGAUCUCGACACAGCUCAUCCAAACGUACUGAUCCACUAGUAAAGGAGGCGGGUGUGUCUGGUACUUUCCUAGAUUGGUUCAGAUGGUACUCACCAGACUGUGACGACUUUGUUUCAUUUGGUAAUUAUAAUUCAUCAAGGCUCUAUUCUCAGGCCACUUUUCUUCUUCUACACGCGCUUCCUGGUUCAGAUUGUAAACUAAUCAAACAUUGUUUUUACCAGCUUUGUGUCUCACCAUAUCACCACAUAUCACCAUGAGCUUAAAGUCAGUGUGUCCAUAAUUUUAAUGACUAGUAGUCAGGAUUGUAUCUAUAUUAAUGCAAAUCAGUAAACUGGCUGUUGGUCCCAAAAAUAAAAGAUUAGUGGUCAGCAAUUAACUAGCGUAUUGGCUAAAGAUCAUAGAGGGUUCAAGAAACCUCAGCAUCAUUUAAUGACUCGGAUCUAGAUUUUAACAAACUGGGUUACUUUAAUUGUCACUUCUGGUCUCUGUUAAAAAGUCGGUCAGCGGCAGCUCAUUAAAAACGAGGCAACAAUCCUGACCAUCAGAGGAAAACUGAACAUAUCACACAAGAUCACAAAUCACUGCACUGGUUCCCAGUUUGUAAAAGAAUAGAUUUUAAAAUCUUGUCUCAAAAGUAUGGAAAUAUUUGGGCCUAGAUAAUUUCUGAGUUGCUAUUCAAGGUUUUCAUGUUAUUAUGCCUUAGAUGUUUAUUGGUUUAUUUUUUUAAUUUUCUUUUUUUUCUUUUCUCUUUAUGCAAUGAUUUUGCUUUGUAGUUCUUUCUUAAAUACCAAGUAUGUAACUGGUAGAAAACAAACAAACAAAACAAAAUCAGUUGCAUUUAAUUACCUAAAUAUAAAAUUAUAAGCCGAAAGGCAAAUUUCACAAGCAUAAAACUUCUGCAGGCUUAGGAGGAAGGCUGAAUGUCUGAGGACAAAUUCCUUGCCACAGGGCUUAUUGCUGUCCUGCAUUAUAGGGUUUGAAGUUUUAUUACGGCAUAAUAACACAGUCUAGACAACCAAUCGCAGUGCAAAGACAUGACACAUUUCCACAUGAUAAAAGAAGUUUACAUUUAAGACAAAAAAAAAGUGUCUAGUAGUUUAAGACCUUUGGAAAAUCUGACCUCAUUGAAUACAUUUUGGGACUAAUACAUUUAAGACUUUUUAACUUUUUAAGACCCUGCAGAUCCCUGGCCUGCAUUUAAGUGUGUGGUUGUGUGCACUGCCUGUGGUUGACGGCAGCUGCAGGAAUGUGAAGGGAGCGUAAAGUUGAGGCUUACAGAACAUCUGCUGGCCGUAGUAAUGAUGGAUGUUCACACUUCUUUUUUUUUUUUUUUCCCAGAAGAGAUUCUCACCUCUCUCCCUCCUUCAUCCUGCCAAGUCUGUCUCCAGUCCCUUUCUUUCUACUUCCCUGCUUCCCCUCUGUAGUCCGCUCAGUUGCUUUCCAGGACGCAUUAAUACAUCUGCCCGUAUUCCUACGCGUCGCCGCUCCUAAAUCCGGCGAGCCUAACUGUUUUCUUCUCCUUCACCUUUCCAUCCCUCCAUCCCUUCUUCUCGGCCAUAAAACAAUAAGUCUUGAAUGUCUGUGAGGAGACUGUGCUAAUGGAGCCCAUUAGCCGUAAUGAAAUAUACAUUACACCAUUACAGGGGACGGGGCCCGGCUAAAGCACUGCACCGCUCAAAUAAUAAAACAUGUACAAUUCAAUUUCCUUCUCGGCCCGUUUUGAGUGUCUUUCAGUGAGCGGGGGUGGGUGUGUGUGGGGGGGGGGGAACGCAGGGAUGACGGGAUGAGGUGCACGAUAGAUGUGUGUGGGCGUGCUCUCGUGCGCAUCCCCUCUUACGCAGAUGUGGUUUUCAAGAAUGUCUGAGUGCUGAGAGCUUUGAAGAUUUAAUAGGGGUUGACCAGAUGAACCACACCUUCUACAGCGCAGUCACCCACACAUUUGACCAUGGUCUGACCACUCGAUACCCAAACUCCCUCAGCAGCCUUUACGCUCCCCCAUCCCUCCACCCACCAACCCCCGAUCCCCCCCCCCCCAACUCUGUGAUUUUGCGAUUGUCGGACAGCUGCGGACAAAUGAAUCAAUUGACCUCCGACACAAACGCUUGACAUCACAAGUGGAGCAUCUGUCGCUUCGGAGGUUUCGGGGUGGAGUAGUUAUCGUAUUACUCUGCUCUGUAUGACUUUGCAUCUCAGGCCUGAGGAAAGUAAAAAUGCAACAGAUAACAGUUGUAAAAUGCAAACGCAUGUAAGUGAGUACCUCAGCAUGGUGUCUGAAAUCUCUUUUCACCACAGUAGUCGGUUGCAGCUGCGUUGUCACCGAUUGUUUUGUGCAUCAGCAAUAUCGGCCAACCAGAAAUGAUCUCCUCAACGCACCUCUUAAUUUCAUCUGACAGGCAGGGAAGGAGAUUGUGUUUACUUUUCUUUCCCUUUCUGGCCAUUGUUGUGUCACACUCAAUUUCCCACAUGCAUACUGAUGUCUCGAUCGUUGCGCUUGUAGUCCUGCUGGUUGACUGCUGACUGUAAUCCUCAUUUUAGAGAGGGAGACGGA